rnacentral:rRNA from 1 species
UACGUAGGGGGCGAGCGUUGUCCGGAAUCAUUGGGCGUAAAGAGCGUGUAGGCGGCCCGGUAAGUCCGCUGUAAAAGUCAAAGGCUCAACCUUUGAAUGUCAGUGGAUACUGCCGGGCUAGAGUCCGGAAGAGGCGAGUGGAACUCCUGGUGUAGCGGUGGAAUGCGCAGAUAUCAGGAAGAACACCAACGGCGAAGGCAGGUCUCUGGGCAUUAACUGACGCUGAGGAGCGAAAGCAUGGGGAGCGAACAGG